AUUCCUCCAGCUAAUGUAAAUGAAGUCUUUCCAUUGACUUCAGCAAGAGUCAGCUUAGUCCUUGUAGAAGGAAGUAAAUAGCAUGGAGACAGCGCCUUUUUGUACAGUUCUGCCUGGAUUUGCAAACAAACACUAGACACUCCUUUAUUUCUCUACUACUGCUCUGAAAGACAGGACAUCCUGCUUUUCAAAACAAAAGAUAUUAAGCCUACUUCAACUAGGUCAAUUACCAUACUCAGAUAGAAAAUGAUAAACCUAGACAUUCUGCUCUCAGAUGAUAGCAUGUUUGGAGAUAUGAGAGAAACAGAGAGCUGCUGGAACAUAUUGCAGAAGCCUAAAGCACUUAGCAACAGAGAAAGUGUGGGCUGCAACGACAGAAGCCAGAAUGUGGAAACAAGUGACAUCGAGGCGGCUGUUUGGGAAAGAAGAGCUUUUACUUUGUUUAUAAUUUCAGUAAUUCUAAAGAACUUGGCAGUGUGGGAGGUCACUGCAGUCUCUGACUCUGCACAUAUCCUUUUCUGUGUGCCUGUUUUUCAAAUGCCUAUGAUAAUUAUUACCAAGAGUGCUGGAUGUUCUAAUUUCCUUUUGUAUGCUUUUGUAUUUCCCGUUUCUCAAAAACUAGAGAAGUAAAAUUAAGGUAUUUGUUUUGCAUCAGUUUAUUCUAUUCAUACUCAUGUGGCAGGCACUGUGAAUAGUUUUUAAAUUGAUAACGAUAAUGUCUUCUGGAGUGAUGCAAUCAUUUACCUUGAUGCUUUUUAGUGCUUUGCACUAGAACAUCCUGAUAGUGUGCACUAAUGAUAGUGUGGAUGUCCAAUAACUGCUAAAGAAAAGAUGCCUGAAGUGUUGAACAGGGUAAAUUGAGUUGAGAUAAAAUAAAAAUUUUUCUGACAUGA